AUUGCCAGCCGCCAUUAAACACAAAAGAUGAAGAAAUAAGACGAAAACGAAACUCUGUUGUGAACCGCCGUAAACGCUUCAAGUGCUAUUUUGUCUGUCACUGAUGCGUUUGAUAAGUAUUCAUAUCCCUUAUUCUUUUGUAUCGAGCUAAUAAUGAGUUUUGUUCAACCAGCGCGGUUUUAUAAACAUCUGCCAGUAUGGAUCGUAGAGGACCACCACGAUGUGGUGUGCCAUAUAUAUCGUGCCAUUGCAACAAGACAUCUCCCCAUGAAGAACAUUAAGCUUAUUCAUUUAGACUCCCAUCCAGAUCUACUCAUUCCUGUCAACUUGUGUGCUGAUACAGUUUUUGAAAAGGAUAAAUUGUUUAGUGAGUUGAGUAUAGAAAACUGGAUCAUGCCCAUGGUUUAUGCUGGCCACAUCUCUUGUGUGGCAUGGCUACACCCAUACUGGUCACAGCAAAUCAUGGAAGGGGAACACAAAAUGACUGUUGGCAAAGAUUCAUCCACAACUACCAUUAGGGUGACGAGUAAAGAUCAUUACUUCCUCAGUGAUGGCUUGUAUGUUCCAGAGGAGCAACUUGAAAACCCCAAACCCUUCAAAUUAAAUGUGAUCAAAGUCAAUCCUGUUAAUCAUCAGCAACCUUUUGCAGAAAUGAAAACAGAGGAGGAUUCUGAGACACAGCUUGCCAAGAAACCCAGAAGAGAAUGUCCACAAGUUGGGGACACCAGUUGCUCUCAACUCCUUCCAAGAACUGAUAUACCAGAUGCCAGGCAAGAACAAAGCUGCAGUGUAAAAAGAGAUUGCAACGAUGGAAAUGAAGAAGGAUCCACAAGUUAUGUUAUUGAAAGGAUAUCAACUGUCCUGAAUCAAACAGAGCCGUACAUCCUGGAUAUUGACUUAGAUUUCUUCUCCUGUAAGAAUCCAUUCAAGGAACUAUAUACAGCGGAGGAAUAUACCAUCCUUCAGGAACUCUACAGCUUCAGAGGACCUGCUCCGACUGCUAAUGAGGAGGAACUUAAUGAAUGUGUUGAUCAUCGUAUUCAACAGUUGGAAGACUUAGAAGCAGCAUUUGCUGAUCUGAUAGAAGACGAUCGAGAAGAGGUUGUUUCACGUUGGGUUGGCAAACUUGGAAAGGCGUGUUUUGUCCGCCUGGUUUCCAGUUUGAAGUCACGAAAUCCUCACCCAGAUUAUGAAUUGGUACAUCAGGCAGGUUUAACCUGUGACUCCAUCGAGUUGCCCCAUCAUAUUAGCUCUGAUGAAGAGAUCGACAGACUUGUAUCAGCUGUACAACGGUUUCUGAAGCACCUACCUUUACCUACUCUGGUGACAAUGUCCAGAUCCAGUCUUGAUGAAUACUGCCCUGUAGAACAAGUGGAUUUAGUCCAAUGCAGAAUACUGACUGUAUUAGAAAAGCAGUAUGGACCAUUGGACAUACAAAAGGACUAUGAAAAUACUAAGACGGAGGUUCAGGACCAUCAAGCUCAGACCCCAUAAGGACUCCAGGACUGUGAUCUAAAUUGUGUUUUGUCAAGCACUGUCUGCAUGUAAAUUUCUAUUGUUGCAUGUUAGUUUCUGGUUUAUGCCAAGACUGGUAAAAACAACAUGGGGAGAGCGGUCGCCGUGAAGGAACCGCUUCAAUCCUGCGCGUCAUAGGUUCAAUUCUCUAACGCAGGGGUGUCAAACUCCUUUUUUUUCGCGGGCCGCAUUGUAGUCAUAGCUUCUUUCCGAGAGCCAUUACGACUGUCAACCCAAAUAAAUGUAUGAGCACC